rnacentral:tRNA from 1 species
GGUCCCGUAGCUCAGUAGGAUAGAGCGACAGAUUCCUAAUCUGUAGGUCACA